AGAGUUUGAUCAUGGCUCAGAAUCAACGCUGGCGGCGUGCCUAACACAUGCAAGUCGAACGAGAAAGCGGGGGCAACUCCGCGAGUACAGUGGCGAACGGGUGAGUAACACGUGACUAACCUGCCUUCGAGUGGGGGAUAACCCCGGGAAACCGGGGCUAAUACCGCAUAACAUCGCGAGGUGAAAUUCCUUGUGAUCAAAUGCGCAAGUAGCUUGAAGAGGGGGUCGCGGCUGAUUAGCUAGUUGGUGAGGUAACGGCUCACCAAGGCGACGAUCAGUAGCCGGCCUGAGAGGACGACCAGCCACACUGGGACUGAGACACGGCCCAGACUCCUACGGGAGGCAGCAGUGGGGAAUAUUGGACAAUGGGCGAAAGCCUGAUCCAGCGACGCCGCGUGGGUGAAGAAGGCCUGCGGGUUGUAAAGCCCUUUCGGUGGGGAAGAAAAGCUUCGACCUAAUACGUCGAGGUCUUGACGUAACCCACAGAAGAAGCACCGGCUAACUCUGUGCCAGCAGCCGCGGUAAUAC
rnacentral:rRNA from 1 species